GCUUGUUCCCAAACCAGUUGAAGUCCAGUCACUUGUGAAUCCUCUGCUUUGAGUCAAAAUGUCCAGAAAUUACAGGCUGCUGGUGAAAAACGCCAAACAGGUGGUUUUGAUCUGCAACAACGGAGAGAAGUACCUGACCAAACAUGGGAUGCAGAAUCUUUGUGUGAUUGAAAAUGGCAGCGUUGUGAUCGGGAGCGAUGGGCUGAUUAAAGCUGUGGGGCCUGCAGAAACCAUCAGAGCUCAGUAUUCAGAGGCUUCGUUUGAUAGAGUGAUUGAUGCUACAGGAAUGUGCGUUCUGCCUGGUUUCCCAGAGACUAUGGGUUGAGGAGGAAUUGGAAGUUUGUCGGCUUAGACCUGGUGUCAUUCCAUCAGUGUUAAACUUCCCGGCUCAUCUUGGAAGAGUACGUGCCAGAAAGACCACGACCAAGCAGCCUUGAGAUCUUAGACAGCAUCUCCCUGAGACCAAAGAACUACAGACUCUUCACAACCUGCUCAAACUCUUGGUACAGGACCUCACCACACGGGUCAAGAAGGUUUCCGUCUCAUUUCUACUCUGAAGCUCACCUUCUCCUGCUCAAACUGCUGACAAAUGUUUCUGCUGCUCUAAAGUCUGGUCUCCAGAACUUCCUAAAAACUCUCAAAGUCUCUUCUGCUGCAGGUUGCUUUGUAGAACUGUUGCAGAAAACCUCACUAAACCACAUGGAGGGGCCUCAAGAUAGUCGUCCAAAUGAAACCAUACAAAAACCAAACUAGCACAACCCAAACGCUAAAGUCUCCUGCAGCCUACCAGAGAACCUCUGAGAACAGAGAAUCAGGACAGGAACUCUUACCUUCUGGACAACCAACGCUGGUUCACAAACAAGAAUACAGAAUGUGUCUGACCAAAAACCUCUGAAGACUCACUACAGCCAAGAUAAAGACACAACUCAGCUGCACCAAAUCCACUAAUCACUGCACACAUUAGCACCAUGUGCUAACUGUGGCUAAAGAACCUCAUUUACCAAGACAACUAUCCAGUACAAAGCCCUAAAACACACCAAGAAACACAUUAAAGACUGAUUUUACUGCUGGAAGCUGCAAGCCAACGCCUAAAGAACAAACUAAAGCAAUGGAGCCAAACCCGGUUCACUGGUGAAGAGAAGCAGAGGAAAUGUUUGUCUGCAGCUAAAUAAAGCAGGAAGACACUGAGCUGCUCAGGUGUUCCUGAUAACACCAAGCUGCUCAGGUGUUCCUGAUAACACCAAGCAGCCACCUGGACAGCCAAUAGGAACACAGCUUCCUGGAAGUCCAGAGGGCUGGGCUUAGUGAAGGAAAUUUAGUUUAAAGUUGAAGCAGAAAGUUAACAAAGAAAGUUGAAAACCACCUUCUGAUCCCUGAAAUCUCUGAGUUUUCACACAAAGAACACCUGAACAUGUCAAACUGGUUCCAUAGUAGAACCAUCAUUGUAAAAACGUCAUAGUAUGGUGUGUUGCUCAAAAAACAUUAGGACCCGGCUGUCAGGGGACAAACAUGUAAGAAACAUGAGAACAGAGAGAACCCAACCAGUAGGUCACAGUUUAUCAUCCCCCAGUCAUCUCCUGAAGUCCAUAUGGUGAGAGACAUCAGUAUCUGGUUGUUCAUUUACCAGAGGAUGCUUAUAAUCAUGCUGAUGUGGUCUGUACUCUACAGUAUUUUAGUGACUCAAUAAAUGCCUAAGUUGUUUUUUUUAAAUGCUUUUUAGUUUUUAAUAAACAUUUAAGAGCCUAUAUGUAAUCAAUAA